rnacentral:rRNA from 1 species
UACGAAGGGGGCUAGCGUUGCUCGGAAUCACUGGGCGUAAAGGGUGCGUAGGCGGGUCUUUAAGUCAGGGGUGAAAUCCUGGAGCUCAACUCCAGAACUGCCUUUGAUACUGAGGAUCUUGAGUUCGGGAGAGGUGAGUGGAACUGCGAGUGUAGGAGGUGAAAUUCGUAGAUAUUCGCAAGAACACCAGUGGCGAAGGCGGCUCACUGGCCCGAUACUGACGCUGAGGCACGAAAGCGUGGGGGAGCAAACA